UAUUCAUUCGGUCCCCAGGCCUGGACUGGGGAGCAUCAAAAUUUCCAGUGUUCUGUUUUCUGUUCUGUUUAGUGAAAAAAAUUAAAUCAAACAAAUUUAAAAAAAGUGAAAAAUAAUUUCCGGUCUCUUAAAAAAAAAAAAAUCAAUCAAAAAUAAACUAAAUUACACUAAAAAUGAUUCUCAAAAUAAGAUACAGGAUCCGCUGAUCCUUGUUUCUGUACAGGCCUGUUCCACAGAUGGAUGAAAGGAGAUGAAGAUACCUCCAGGCACCCACACCCACACCACCACACCACCACACCGCAAGCACACAUUCGCAAUCGAACUCGAACUCGUCAGCUUUUGCACAACUAUACUAUUGCAGGAUGGAACCGGCCGAAAGCACAGGGGAUGGCAUCCUGGACAAGAGCUUCAUUGGGCAGAUAAACCAAGAAGCAAACUAUAAGCAGCCUCUACCUUGGUAUUGAAGGCUCUGCUGUCGAUGCCAUCGGCACAGGAUCCGCUGAUCCUUGUUUCUGUACAGGCCUCUUCCACAGAUGGAUGAAAGGAGAGGAAGAUACCUCCAGGCACCCACACCCACACCACCACACCACCACACCGCAAGCACACAUUCGCAAUCGAACUCGAACUCGUCAGCUUUUGCACAACUAUACUAUUGCAGGAUGGAACCGGCCGAAAGCACAGGGGAUGGCAUCCUGGACAAGAGCUUCAUUGGGCAGAUAAACCAAGAAGCGAACUAUAAGCAGCCUCUACCUUGGUAUUGAAGGCUCUGCUGUCGAUGCCAUCGGCACAGGAUCCGCUGAUCCUUGUUUCUGUACAGGCCUCUUCCACAGAUGGAUGAAAGGAGAGGAAGAUACCUCCAGGCACCCACACCCACACCACACCACAACUAUACUAUUGCAGAAUGGAACCGGCCGAAGGCACAGGGGAUGGCAUCCUGGACAAGAGCUUCAUUGGGCAGAUAAACCAAGAAGCAAACUAUAAGCAGCCUCUACCUUGGUAUUGAAGGCUCUGCUGUCGAUGCCAUCGGCACAGGAUCCGCUGAUCCUUGUUUCUGUACAGGCCUCUUCCACAGAUGGAUGAAAGGAGAGGAAGAUACCUCCAGGCACCCACACCCACACCACCACACCACCACACCGCAAGCACACAUUCGCAAUCGAACUCGAACUCGUCAGCUUUUGCACAACUAUACUAUUGCAGGAUGGAACCGGCCGAAAGCACAGGGGAUGGCAUCCUGGACAAGAGCUUCAUUGGGCAGAUAAACCAAGAAGCGAACUAUAAGCAGCCUCUACCUUGGUAUUGAAGGCUCUGCUGUCGAUGGCAUCGGCACUCGACACUGUGGGCUCUGGUCUCGGCUCUGAAUAUCGUGGAUCACAUUAAGAAACA